rnacentral:rRNA from 1 species
AUGGCUUCUCGGGCACCCAUUGUAUUUAGUGGAGAAAUCAUGCCGGGAAGGUUGGAGCUGCUUGUUGCGCUUUGGAAAGCAUGGGGGAUCCAAGGGGUGGUGCUGCUGAGCUUCACAUUGCAAGUCAUGCUCCUUGUAAUGGCUGAUAUCCGUCGGCGCAACGGGUCUUUCAUGUUGAAGGCCAUCAUUUGGUCAGCAUAUGUUACGGCCGACCCAACGGCGAUGUAUACCCUUGGCCACAUGUCCGUGAUGGUCACAUCGCCUGAGCACAACCUUAUGGCACUCUGGGCACCACUGUUGCUUGUGCACCUUGGUGGACAAGACAACAUCACGGCCUACGUCAUCGAAGACAACCGGCUCUGGAUGCGCCACCUGCAAUAUUUUCUUUCACAGGUCGUGGCAGCUACAUAUGUUAUGUACGAGUCUUCCAUACUUGGCCGUAACACCUUGCUCCGGCCAGCCACAAUCCUCUUGUUUGUGGUUGGUAUCCUCAAGUAUGGAGAAAGAAUAUGGGCACUGAUGUGCGCCAACAACUGCGCCAGUAGUAGCCUAUCCGCCACAAACUACAAAGAUUUUCGCCAGGUGUCUGAGGAGCAGCCUGGCACUUUGUCCAAAGAAGCUACAAGCCCAAGAGAUGAGGAAGACCUAGCAAGGGAACCGGGGCGUGGCCCUAUUCGUCUAAAAGACGAGGAAGACCUACAGUUCCAAGCAUACAUGAUGUUGGACGUCCCCAAACAAAUGUUCGAGGGGCCGACACGGUAUGUGAAAAUGAACAAUGCCUUCCAUUGUGAAGGAGAGGAUAUAUCCAAGAUGGUCGGAAUGCAGCUCUCCAUGAUGUACGAAAUUCUAUACAGCAAGGCUGCUGUAGUGCACACUUGGUACGGCCGGUGCAUCCGUGUCAUCUCGCUUCUGGCCACCAUUGCCGCAUUCCUGUUGUUCCAUGCAUCAAGUGACAAAUUGCAUGGUGGUUACAGCAGAGUAGAUGUUAUUGUCACCUAUGUCCUUCUAGCUGGUGCUGUUGUCCUGGAGAUCACGUCCAUGCUCAGGACCAUUUUCUCCACUUGGACAUGUGUGCUUCUCCAACAACUGGGGUGGCGUCGGCUUUCCGGUGUGCUCCAAUUUCUUGCCCGGCCCAUCAGAUUGGUGGUCCAUACAAGGUUCUGGUCGGGAUCCAUGAGGCAGAACAGCUUGUUUAGGACCUGCUAUCGGGCUAGGAACAAUCCAAUGAGCAAAAUCGCCAGAUGCAUGGGAAGGGGGGACUGGUGGGACUCCAUAGUCAACUCCUCGUCCACCUAUGUCCCGAGAAUAAUCAUUGAGUUAGUGGUGGAAGUAGUGUCUGCAAGUGAGGGCAUCCCUGAAGAGAGCCCAUAUCACAUCAGAAACUCAAGGGGUCGGCAGACGUUACAGAGAUGUGGCAUGCAUGAGGACCUGGAAUGGACAUGGACAGUUGAGUUGGAGCUGGAUGAGAGCAUCAUCGUAUGGAACAUCGCCACUGAAUUAUACACAUUUUGGUGGCGUAAGAAUAGGUAUUCAGAUACUUUUGAUGAGUCAAGAGAAAGACCCGACAUACUCUCCCGUUACAUGUUUUACCUGCUUGCCACACGCCCCUACAUGCUCCCUUACCCUGUUAGCCGCCAGAAGUAUGUCCAGUUGUGCUAUGAUUUGAUCACCGCGCACAAGGACGUACUUUCUGCACUUCGUAAGGAAGUAUGCGACACCGGAUUUGAUCCAGCCAACUCAUUUCCGGCUGAAGCUGAAGUAAUUGAAAUCGACAAUAAAAUGCUAAGCAGUGGAUGGCGGCUAGCCCUAAAGCUGAUCAGCACCGACAUGGGGUCAGAGGAUUGUCAUGGCACCUUCAAGAUGAUCUCUAAAGUUUGGGCGGAGAUGCUAUGUUACACAGCCUAUCGGUGCAACGAGAACUAUCAUGCCAAACACCUGAGCAACGGUGGUGAGAUCCUGACCUCCAUUGCCCUUUUAAUGUUGUACAUGUCAAGGAAAAGGUCGCCGCUACCAUAG